rnacentral:tRNA from 1 species
GGGGCCAUGGCUCAGUGGGAGAGCACUAGCUUGGUGUGCAGAAGGUCCCAGGUUUGAUCCCCGGCAUCUCUA